rnacentral:rRNA from 1 species
ACAUGCAGUCGAGCGGUAGCACAGAGAGCUUGCUCUCGGGUGACGAGCGGCGGACGGGUGAGUAAUGUCUGGGAAACUGCCUGAUGGAGGGGGAUAACUACUGGAAACGGUAGCUAAUACCGCAUAAUGUCGCAAGACCAAAGUGGGGGACCUUCGGGCCUCAUGCCAUCAGAUGUGCCCAGAUGGGAUUAUCUAGUAGGUGGGGUAACGGCUCACCUAGGCGACGAUCCCUAGCUGGUCUGAGAGGAUGACCAACCACACUGGAACUGAGACACGGUCCACACUCCUACGGGAGGCAGCAGUGGGGAAUAUUGCUCAAUGGGCGCAAGCCUGAUGCGGCCAUGCCGGGUGUGGGAAGAACCCCUUCGGGGUGUAAAACCCUUUCUUCCGGGAAAGAAAGGGGGGAAGGUUAAUAAGCUU